GAGGGUAUAGCUCAGUGGUAGAGUGCACGCUUGGUUGCACGAGGUCCUGGGUUCAAACCCCAGUGUCUCUA
rnacentral:tRNA from 1 species